AGAAAAUCAUUCAAGUGUUGCAGUCCCACAUAUUGGAAAGCUUAAUUACAGCAUGGACGGAGAAGAGCCAAAGCAGCUAGAAGGGAGGACGCGUCUCCUCAUUCUCCACAGACAGAAUCUGUCCAAGAACCCAGGCAGGUCGUCACAUCUGUCUGUCUGCCAGAAGCUACGUUCAUUACACAACCGAGAGCCACCCUGGGGGAAGCCUCACACAGGCUCAUUUCCAACCCUUGUACUUGCUCAGCCUCAUUUCAGAACCCAGCAGAUCAUCUCAAAAUCUCCCUCAGUGCCCCGAAAAUAUGCAUACAAUUCAGUCACAGUAGACAUCAAGUCACAGCAAGACAUAGCUCACAUUGGGAUCCUACACCUGCGGGAAACACUUCCAUAUUGAAAUAAGCCCCAGAAUCAGAUCAGCCAGAAGUCUCAAGAAAAAAAGACUCAUCAUGUAUGGACAGAUAGAAAAAUGGCAGCUGUGAUGAACGUAUUGUAUGACAAGAGAACUGGCUUUGUUUUUGAAUCAGAAGAGAGAUCCCAUCAUUCCCAAGACACCUACAGCAUCAGAGACUACACACCAUAAAGUAUUCACUUUACUUCCAUUUUUCUCCUUCAGUAGAAUACUUGGAAAUCAGGAAUGUUCUGAAAUGAUGAGAAUCUUCAUGCCAAGACCUGAAGCCCAGCCCAGUUCUUGUCCAUCCAGUUCGUGCUGCGGCAACUCCCGAGAAGCUCAUUUGGUUACUUCUCAUUUGUUUCCAUAUUUAGUGAACAC
ensembl:lncRNA